rnacentral:tRNA from 1 species
GCCUGGGUGGCUCAGUUGGUUGAGUGUCUGACUCUUGGUUUUGGCUCAGGUCAUGAUCUCAUGGGUUGUGAGAUCAAGUCCCGCCUCAGGUU